UGAAGCAAUACAUCUGCUCAGGGCUGGGGCAGAGGAAGGGAGAAGUGUGAGGCCAUUGUCAAGGAAACCGCCCAGAAGCUCCUCUUCGCCUGGCAGAGGGCUCCCCCACCCCCAGCAGCCCAGGACGGGGGCGAGCGGCCAAGGAUGGGGGCUAGCAGCCAAGGACAGGGGCGCGCCGCACCUCUAAGGAGAUCACGGAUCUCUGCAGGCUCCUUCCAAUAAACCACUCCCCAGGCACUAAGGCACUCAAGACCUCCGGCAGGCAUGGAUUUCUUCUUUUUCACUACUUCCUCUCCCGAUGAAAUGAGUAAGAGAGCACAAGCAGGGGGUGCGGCAGAGGGAGAGGGAGAAGCAGGCUCCCCACUGAGCAGGGAGCCGAUGUGGAACCCGAUGCGGGGCUGUCCUGGGAUCCUGACCUGAGCUGAAGGCAGAAGCUUAACCAACUGAGCCACCCAUUCUUACCCUCAUUGAAAAACUCAUUGAAAUUUUCUUGUAAGACUCAUAAAAUCUCAUAUCAAAAAUAAGUCUAUAUUCUCUAAAAUAACUUAGAAAUUUACAUUUUACUGUAAACCAAAUUCUUCUUAUAAACCUAAUCUGUGCCAAUCCAAUGCCUUUAUAAAUGAAGCAGAAAAUAUGUUUAAUUCACAAGUUUACUAUUUUUUAGAAGUGAGAUAUCAUCAUUAAACGAAUAUUAAUUUAAGAAAAAGGAUUAUAGAAGGGUUUUAAGAGAAAAAAUUAUCUCUUUCACCAAAAGAGGGGACAGAAACUGGCUGCUAGUUGUUUCCUUAAUCUUUCUGUUAAUUACAGUUCUAUAAAUGUAGUAAUAAAAAAAUUGAAACUGA